UUCAACGUUGUAAACCAUUUGCUCUGAUAGGGUUUUGCCCUCUUUCAAUAGUGAUUGACAUGGUCUCUUCCUCUUCCUCUGCCGUCUCUCUCAUCCGCUCAUCUUCGCCAUGUAACCCGCUUCUGCAGCUGCCUCGCAACUUGCUUCCGCUUCUACUGCGCCGCGCAACCCGCUUCCCCGCCGCCGCGCAACCCGCUUCCCCAGCUUUCUAUCAGCUUCGUAUUUAGGGCUUAAAGAGUUUUUACCACCAUAUUUGGAUCCAAAUCUCACAAAUCAAGAACUCAUCACAGGAGUCAACUUUGCCUCUGAUGGUUCUGGUCAUGACACACUUACACCAACUCUCAGUAAUGUAAUUUCAAUUCGAAAACAGUUGGAACAUUUAAAAGAAUACAAAAAUAGGUUGGAGAGGAUUCUUGGUAAACAGAAAAUAGAAGAUCAUAUGAAGAACGCUAUAUUUUUCAGAAGUGCAGGGACAAAUGACUUUGUUAUUAAUUAUUUUACAUUGCCAAUACGAAGAAAGAAAGAGGAUAAGUUAUUGUUUGGAACGGUGUAGAAUUGAAGGAAGUAAUUGGUAUCCAGAGGAAGAGAAAGAAGAGGACAGAGGGUAAGUUAUUGUUUUGCAGCAUGAAGCAGCAGCUACCUGGCGUUGAUGCUAAAUUGCAGAAGAUUGCAGAUUCUACGAAGUUUGUUAUUGUCAUCAGAUGAUUGAUGGUUAUCUGAUAUGCAAUGUAACAGUCAUACGAGGUGAAUUCAAGCGGCAUUGAAAUAUUCUGUAAGAGUUGGCUUCCUGAGGCAUCCAAGCCAAAAGCAACAGUGUUUUUCUGUGAUGGAUAUGGAGACAUCUGCACUUUUUUCUUUGAAGGCAUGUUCCUGGCAUAGCUAGGAAGAUAGCAUUAGCUGGAUACGGGGUCUUUGCUAUGGAUUAUCCUGGAUUUGGCCUUUCACAAGGCCUCCAUGGCUAUAUCCCUAGUUUUGAUGGUCUUGUUGAUGAUGUCAUUGAACAUUACUCCAAAAUCAAAGCUGUCUUAGGCAAUUGCAUAACUAGAAUUAAAGCAUCAAACGUAUGAUGUGCAUUAGGAAACUAUGAUGUGCAGCAACCCCAAGGGUUACAUUAACAUUGCAGAGUUGAGAAAGGCCGCAGAAACUCACAAGGACAACUUAUCAGCACUUAUGAUAAAAUUUGCUUCCUAUAUAUUGAUACUUGUAUAUUCCAGUUAUAUAAGCAAAUUGACAUUAUUGUCAAACUUUGAGCCUUUUUUAUACUAAGUUUGGUUAUGAUUUGAUUGUAGGUAACGUAUCCCUCAACCUAUGAAUGUACCUACGGGCUUAGAUUAUUCCUGCGAGGCUGCGACCACUUUGAGCCUUUUCUUACUUUUCAUGAGAUAUACUUUUCUUUGAGUCUUUUCUAUUAUUCUUACUUUUCUUACUUUUCAUGAGAUAUACUUCAGUUCUAUGAAUGUACCUACGGGCUAGAUUAUACUUCAGUUCUAUUUUCUUUUAAAGGAAAAUGGAUGAUUGUAGGCUCAAUGUCAACAAUGAUGAAGUCUGUCUUAAAUAUUACAACCAGAGUGUAUAUAAGCUGUUAUCCAAAGACUUUGCGAAUCCUUGCAGCAUAGACCAAUAUGCUAUGAUAUGUGCACGACAGUGA